AAUAACUUGAAACAACUUCCAAGUUAUAACUUACAACUUAAUUUACAAAAAGUAAGCGCAACUUAUAAAAUAUAAAAAAUAAACAUACUUGAAAUAAUUGUAGAGAGAUUAGAGUAAGAGAGAGAGAGAGAGAGUAAGAGAUUUAGAAAUUUGGAGUAAAGAAUAGUGAAAUUGGAGGGGAUAUGAGUGCCUAUGUAUAGGCAAAAGUUCUCCAAAUUGAAAAAUAAAAAAUAAAAAAAUUGCUUCCACUUUGGCUAUUGGGAAAUAAGUGAUCGCAUAUGCAGUAUGUGAUCGCAUAUUGGUCACAUAUAAAAGUAUGCCAUGGCAUACUUACCAAGAUCGCAUAUGCCAUCAUGGCAUAUGCGAUUCAAUCCACAUUAUGCACAUAUGCGAUCGCAUUUGACAACUAUGCCUACUGUAGCUUAAAAAGCAUCUUGUCACUGCCAGCUAUGUUAGUGAUACCAUGUCAAAGUUGGAUGAAGAAGCUAAGAGUGUUGGUGUUGCGAUCCUUUGUGAAAGGGGCCUGGAUCUUGGAAUAUUGGAGUUCUACCAUAGUGGAAGUUACCUUGCAAUUUCAGGUUCUGUUAUGAUAUCCGAUAUUACAGUGUGGUGAUGCGAGAGGAUUCUGUUGCGGAAAUUGACAAAAAUGACAGUUGUGGUGAAGUUUAUAUAAUCAAUAGAGGCUUCUGUUGUGGUUCGUAGAUGUCGUAGAGCAUCAAAGAUGCCUGCCCUAUUGUCUGCUGGUCUCAUCUUCUGUUUUGUGGUUGUGAUAUGCCGAGUAGAU